AUUAGAUUAAAAACCAAUGCCCUUCGGGGCUCUCUGGUGAUUCAUGAUAACUUCUCGAAUCGCAUGGCCUUGCGCCGGCGAUGGUUCAUUCAAAUUUCUUCCCUAUCAACUUUCGAUGUUUGGGUACUGGCCAAACAUGGUUGCAACGGGUAACGGAGGGUUAGGGCUCGACCCCGGAGAAGGAGCCUGAGAAACGGCUACUACAUCCAAGGAAGGCAGCAGGCGCGCAAAUUACCCAAUCCCGACUCGGGGAGGUAGUGACAAUAAAUACUGAUACAGGGUUCUUUCGGAUCUUGUAAUUGGAAUGAGUACAAUUUAAAUCCCUUAACGAGGAACAAUUGGAGGGCAAGUCUGGUGCCAGCAGCCGCGGUAAUUCCAGCUCCAACAGCGUAUAUUAAAGUUGUUGUGGUUAAAAAGCUCGUAGUUGAACCUUGGGCCUGGCUGGCCGGUCCGCCUCACCGCGUGUACUGGUCCGGCCGGGCCUUUCCCUCUGUGGAACCCUAUGCCCUUCACUGGG
rnacentral:rRNA from 1 species